GUCACGGCAUGCUCAGUAACGGCGAGUGAAGCGGCAAAAGCUCAAAUUUUAAAGCUGGCACCUUCGGUGUCCGCGUUGUAAUUUUGUGAGGCAUCUCCGGGUAGGGCGCCGGCCUAAGUUCCUUGGAACAGGACGUCAUAGAGGGUGAGAAUCCCGUGCUUGGCUGGCUGUCCCCGUCCAUGUGAGGUGUCUUCGACGAGUCGAGUUGUUUGGGAAUGCAGCUCAAAAUGGGUGGUAAAUUUCAUCUAAAGCUAAAUAUUGGUGGGAGACCGAUAGCGCACAAGUAGAGUGAUCGAAAGAUGAAAAGCACUUUGAAAAUAGAGUUAAAAAGUACGUGAAAUUGUUGAAAGGGAAGCGCUUGAGACCAGACUUCGGUGGGGGGUGAUCAGCUGUCCUUCUGGGCGGUGCACUUGCUCCCCUCCGGGCCAGCAUCGGUUGGGGCGGCGGGAUAAAGAUCCCGGGAAUGUGGCUCCUUUCGGGGAGUGUUAUAGCCCGGGUGAAUGCCGCCAGUUCCGACCGAGGACCGCGCCUUCGGGCUAGGAUGCUUGGCAUAAUGGUCUUCAGCGACCCGUCUUGAACCCCCGGAACCA
rnacentral:rRNA from 1 species